UCAGACAUGGUGUAGUGGGAACACAGCCUCUUCUUCUUUUCACGAUAGUUAUAAGUUUACGGUGGCAGUCCAGGGUUCGAAUCCUUGUGUCUGAA